rnacentral:rRNA from 1 species
GGUUUGGCACCUCGAUGUCGGCUCAUCACAUCCUGGGGCUGUAGUAGGUCCCAAGGGUUGGGCUGUUCGCCCAUUAAAGUGGUACGCGAGCUGGGUUCAGAACGUCGUGAGACAGUUCGGUCCCUAUCCGUCGCAGGCGUAGGAAAUUUGAGAAGACCUGUCCUUAGUACGAGAGGACCGGGAUGGACGUACCUCUGGUGUACCAGUUGUCCUGCCAAGGGCAUGGCUGGGUAGCUAUGUACGGAAUGGAUAAGCGCUGAAAGCAUCUAAGCGCGAAGCCAACUUCAAGAUAAGAUUUCCCACCGUAAGGGUAAGACCCCAGAAAGACUAUCUGGUUGAUAGGUCGAAGGUGUAAGUGCAGCAAUGUAUUUAGCUUAUCGAUACUAAUAGGUCGAGGACUUGACCAA